rnacentral:rRNA from 1 species
GACGGGGGAUGCAAGCGUUAUCCGGAAUCACUGGGCGUAAAGCGUCUGUAGGUGGUGAUGCAAGUCACUGGUGCAAAACUCUGGCUCAACCGGAGGAAAGCCAGUGAAACUGCAUGACUAGAGUGUGGGAGAGGUAGAAGGAAUUCCCUGAGUAGCGGUGAAAUGCGUAGAUACAGGGAAGAACACCGGAGGCGAAAGCGUUCUACUGGAACACAACUGUCACUAAGAGACGACAGCUAGGGGAGCGAAUGGG